rnacentral:rRNA from 1 species
AUUGAACGCUGGCGGCAGGCUUAACACAUGCAAGUCGAGCGGGGAAAGGUAGCUUGCUACCUGACCUAGCGGCGGACGGGUGAGUAAUGCUUAGGAAUCUGCCUAUUAGUGGGGGACAACAUCUCGAAAGGGAUGCUAAUACCGCAUACGUCCUACGGGAGAAAGCAGGGGACCUUCGGGCCUUGCGCUAAUAGAUGAGCCUAAGUCGGAUUAGCUAGUUGGUGGGGUAAAGGCCUACCAAGGCGACGAUCUGUAGCGGGUCUGAGAGGAUGAUCCGCCACACUGGGACGAAGACACGGCCCAGACUCCUACGGGAGGCAGCAGGGGGGAAUAUUGGACAAUGGGGGGAACCCUGAUCCAGCCAUGCCGCGUGUGUGAAGAAGGCCUUUUGGUUGUAAAGCACUUUAAGCGAGGAGGAGGCUACCGAGAUUAAUACUCUUGGAUAGUGGACGUUACUCGCAGAAUAAGCACCGGCUAACUCUGUG